AAACUGCCCUCUUGUACUCUGGUGUUGUGGGAUUGUCUGGACCUUUGCCAGAAAUGGUAAAGGGUGUUAUUCUGGACCUUUGCCAGAAAUGGUAAAGGGUAUGUGCUUAGAGCCUACGAUGCUCUGCCGGCCCCCUCUGGCUUCACCUAGACGUGGGUGGAUGGAGCUCCCAGACGUGGGAGACUUUUGUCAGGUGGUCAUUCAGAAAUGGAUGAAUCACAUUCUGACUGAGAUCCCACUACACCUUCUGUAUGUUUGAUAUGAUAUCCAGAGCUUUGGUUAUGUGUUUUUGUACAUGCUUUGGAUAAGAAUGAUAUGAAUGCAACGUCAAAGACGACGUUUGAGUUUCUGUUUGGUAUGUGAUAUUGAUAAGCUCCGAAAUGUUUCAUUUGUUAUUGU
rnacentral:lncRNA from 1 species